UACGGAGGGUGCAAGCGUUAUCCGGAUUCACUGGGUUUAAAGGGUGCGUAGGUGGGCUGGUAAGUCAGUGGUGAAAUCUCCAGGCUUAACUUGGAAACUGCCAUUGAUACUAUCAAGUCUUGAAUACCGUGGAGGUCAGCGGAAUAUGUCAUGUAGCGGUGAAAUGCUUAGAUAUGACAUAGAACACCAAUUGCGAAGGCAGCUGGCUACACGAAUAUUGACACUGAUGCACGAAAGCGUGGGGAUCAAACAG
rnacentral:rRNA from 1 species